CCCUUAGAUGUUCUGGGCUGCACGCGCGCUACACUGAUGCAUUCAACAAGCCUAGCCUUGACCGAGAGGUCCGGGUAAUCUUUGAAACUGCAUCGUGAUGGGGCUAGAUUAUUGCAAUUAUUAAUCUUCAACGAGGAAUGCCUAGUAAGCGUGAUUCAUCAAAUCGCGUUGAUUACGUCCCUGCCCUUUGUACACACCGCCCGUCGCUCCUACCGAUUGAAUGUGUUGGUGAGGAGCUCGGAUUGGCAGCAGUUGGUGGUUCGCCACCGGCUAUUGCUGAGAAGUCCUCCAAACCGCCCCAUUUAGAGGAAGGAGAAGUCGUANCA
rnacentral:rRNA from 1 species